UGAACGCUGGCGGCGUGCCUAACACAUGCAAGUCGAACGGUGAUGAGCAGAAAUUUCGGAUGGAAGCUGAUCAUAGUGGCGGACGGGUGAGUAACGCGUGGAUAACCUGCCUCUCGCUGGGGGAUAGCAGCCGGAAACGGCUGGUAAUACCGCAUACGUUCAUUUCCCCGCAUGGGGAGGUGAGGAAAGAUUUAUCGGCGAGAGAUGGAUCCGCGUCUGAUUAGCCAGUUGGCGGGGUAACGGCCCACCAAAGCGACGAUCAGUAGCCGGCCUGAGAGGGUGAUCGGCCACAUUGGGACUGAGACACGGCCCAAACUCCUACGGGAGGCAGCAGUGGGGGAUAUUGCACAAUGGGCGCAAGCCUGAUGCAGCGACGCCCGCGUGAGUGAAGAAGUAUUUCGGUAUGUAAAGCUCUAUCGGCAGGGAAGAAAGGCCCGCAAGGGAGAUGACGGUACCUGACUAAGAAGCCCCGGCUAACUACGUGCCAGCCGCGGC
rnacentral:rRNA from 1 species